CGGCUCUACUCCACUACGAUAGCACCGGCUUGCCAAAAAAGGAGGAUAAACCCCGACCGCCCGACUCGCGGUGCGGCAGUGUGGAGACCUGCCGUAAGCUGACAGUCCGCUGUCAGGAGGUGCGCGCAUGCGGAGGCACGCGCAUCAGAGUCUGCUGCAUGGC
rnacentral:ncRNA from 1 species